rnacentral:rRNA from 1 species
UGGGGAAUAUUGCACAAUGGAGGAAACUCUGAUGCAGCGACGCCGCGUGAACGAAGAAGGCCUUCGGGUCGUAAAGUUCUGUCCUAAGGGACGAUAAUGACGGUACCUUAGGAGGAAGCCCCGGCUAACUACGUGCCAGCAGCCGCGGUAAUACGUAGGGGGCAAGCGUUGUCCGGAUUUAUUGGGCGUAAAGGGUGCGUAGGCGGCCUUUUAAGUCAGAUGUGAAAGGUCACGGCUCAACCGUGGUAAGCAUUUGAAACUGAAAGGCUUGAGUUAAGGAGAGGAAAGUGGAAUUCCUAGUGUAGCGGUGAAAUGCGUAGAUAUUAGGAGGAAUACCAGUGGCGAAGGCGACUUUCUGGACUUAUAACUGACGCUGAGGCACGAAAGCGUGGGUAGCGAACA